GAAAGAAAGCUCCAGAAAACAUCUGUGGCUGCUGGCUUUCUCGUGCCUCCCAUUGUUGGGAGACCAUGGACGUCGGUGGAGGAGGGAAGUUCUGUCACCUGUUUGGAAGCCGAAGCUGGCAACUCUGACUGGCUUGUGACAGCUGCGAGAGACUCCAGCUUGGUACCGGAAGAGCGAGGAGAAGCAGCUUGUGUGGUGAGCGCGGAUGAUGGAGGUGACCCUGGAGGAGAGAGGUCUGUUCUUAGUGCUGUCAUGAUGAGAGGCCUUGUUUGGACCAGAGUCUCAGUGGGGUCCUUGGCAAGAUCCAGGGAGGCGCUAUGUCCACUUCCUUGGUAAGGGGAUGAAGAGAAGUCCACAUGUGCCCUGGUCCUACGGUGUGCCUUAGGCAGAGGUGUCUGGGAUAGCUUCAGCAAGGUUGUGUUGUCAGGAGGCUGUCCCAGCACAUUCUUGAAUCUGUCUGCUGCUGAGGAAGACUUGACUUCCAAGAAAGGCCAUGUUGGUGAAAUUGGUAACAAUUUCCCAAGGGGAAAGGACUCUGAGGUCGGAGUGACAUGUAUCUGUAGAUUGUCUGUCCCUGUGAAAGAAAGCAUCCACAUGAGAUGUGGGAUCAGGAUGCACUGCAAUGGGCAGGCGCUGGAGACAAGGAGCAAGCAAGACAGGCCCUGCCUGGCCACAGUCCUUCUGCUCAUCACAGAACCCUCAUGAAACAACUCAAACAAGGAACGAAGUAGCAAGGAACGAACCUGGGCUUGCUUUCAUGUAAGAGGAGCCGUGGAUCACAAAGGGGACACCCUCUGCUGGAAGAGCGCAAAAGCAGGUCGGUAUGAGGGGUCCUCCCUCCCAGGCCUAGGCUGCAUCUCCAGUUGCUUUUCUCAGGGACUGAAGUCUGCCAACCGAAAAAAGGAACAACUGGAGAAAGUCUUAUAAUAGGAAGGUUUGCGAAUGAAUACACAACAGCCUCUUCAUGACAAAAGCUGAGCUGUGAUUGUCUUCUGAGAUGGUUUUUCCAGUUUUCCCUUUUGCAGCUUGAAGAAGGAAGGGUGGACGGUGUCUUUCACCCUAAGUAAGAACACGUGGACAGCUUUCAUUUUGAUCCUCUGUGCUCUUGUGAUUUCCCUUUUCCUUUUUUAAAUAAAAUUUUAAAUUAUUUUAACUU
rnacentral:lncRNA from 1 species